rnacentral:rRNA from 1 species
UACAGAGGGUGCGAGCGUUAAUCGGAAUUACUGGGCGUAAAGCGCACGUAGGUGGCGACGUAAGUCGGGUGUGAAAGCCCCGGGCUCAACCUGGGAAUUGCAUUCGAGACUGCAUUGCUGGAGUACGGAAGAGGAGGGCGGAAUUCCCGGUGUAGAGGUGAAAUGCGUAGAUAUCGGGAAGAACAUCAGUGGCGAAGGCGGCCCACUGGCGCAGUACUGACACUGAGGUGCGAAAGCGUGGGGAGCAAACAGG